rnacentral:rRNA from 1 species
CGUGGGUAACCUGCCCAAGAGAUCGGGAUAACACCUGGAAACAGAUGCUAAUACCGGAUAACAACAGAUGAUGCCUAUCAACUGUUUAAAAGAUGGUUCUGCUAUCACUCUUGGAUGGACCUGCGGUGCAUUAGCUAGUUGGUAGGGUAACGGCCUACCAAGGCGAUAAUGCAUAGCCGAGUUGAGAGACUGAUCGGCCACAUUGGGACUGAGACACGGCCCAAACUCCUACGGGAGGCAGCAGCC